AUUGAACGCUAGCGGGAUGCUUUACACAUGCAAGUCGAACGGCAGCGCGGACUUCGGUCUGGCGGCGAGUGGCGAACGGGUGAGUAAUGUAUCGGAACGUGCCCAGUAGCGGGGGAUAACUACGCGAAAGCGUAGCUAAUACCGCAUACGCCCUACGGGGGAAAGCAGGGGAUCGUAAGACCUUGCACUAUUGGAGCGGCCGAUAUCGGAUUAGCUAGUUGGUGAGGUAACGGCUCACCAAGGCGACGAUCCGUAGCUGGUUUGAGAGGACGACCAGCCACACUGGGACUGAGACACGGCCCAGACUCCUACGGGAGGCAGCAGUGGGGAAUUUUGGACAAUGGGGGCAACCCUGAUCCAGCCAUCCCGCGUGUGCGAUGAAGUCCUUCGGGUUGUAAAGCACUUUUGGCAGGAAAGAAACGUCGCGGGCUAAUACCCCGUGGAACUGACGGUACCUGCAGAAUAAGCACCGGCUAACUACGUG
rnacentral:rRNA from 1 species